CGGGGAGUAGCGCAGCCUGGUAGCGCGCGUCGUUCGGGUCGACGAGGUCGCAGGUUCAACUCCUGUCUCCCCGA
rnacentral:tRNA from 1 species